rnacentral:rRNA from 1 species
AUACGUAGGUCCCCGAGCGUUGUCCGGAUUUAUUGGGCGUAAAGCGAGCGCAGGUGGUUUAUUAAGUCUGGUGUAAAAGGCAGUGGCUCAACCAUUGUAUGCAUUGGAAACUGGUAGACUUGAGUGCAGGAGAGGAGAGUGGAAUUCCAUGUGUAGCGGUGAAAUGCGUAGAUAUAUGGAGGAACACCGGUGGCGAAAGCGGCUCUCUGGCCUGUAACUGACGCUGAGGCUCGAAAGUAUGGGUAGC